rnacentral:rRNA from 1 species
AUUGAACGCUGGCGGCAGGCUUAACACAUGCAAGUCGAGCGGAGAUGAGGUGCUUGCACCUUAUCUUAGCGGCGGACGGGUGAGUAAUGCUUAGGAAUCUGCCUAUUAGUGGGGGACAACACUCCGAAAGGAAUGCUAAUACCGCAUACGUCCUACGGGAGAAAGCAGGGGACCUUCGGGCCUUGCGCUAAUAGAUGAGUCUAAGUCGGAUUAGCUAGUUGGUGGGGUAAAGGCCUACCAAGGCGACGAUCUGUAGCGGGUCUGAGAGGAUGAUCCGCCACACUGGGACUGAGACACGGCCCAGACUCCUACGGGAGGCAGCAGUGGGGAAUAUUGGACAAUGGGCGGAAGCCUGAUCCAGCCAUGCCGCGUGUGUGAAGAAGGCCUUUUGGUUGUAAAGCACUUUAAGCGAGGAGGAGGCUACUAGUACUAAUACUACUGGAUAGUGGACGUUACUCGCAGAAUAAGCACCGGCUAACUCUGUGCCAGCCGCCGCGGUAACAC